rnacentral:rRNA from 1 species
UACAGAGGGUGCAAGCGUUGUUCGGAAUUAUUGGGCGUAAAGCGCGUGUAGGCGGCCGUGCAAGUCGGGUGUGAAAGCCCUCGGCUCAACCGAGGAAGUGCGCCCGAAACUGCAUGGCUUGAGUAUCGGAGAGGGUGGCGGAAUUCCCCAAGUAGAGGUGAAAUUCGUAGAUAUCGGGAGGAACACCGGUGGCGAAGGCGG